GGUAUCGCCGUUAGUCAUGUGCAAAUAUGGAUAGCUGUUUUAGCCGUCUUUAUUGACUGGUUUAUAAGAGUUAUCAGAUAUCACUUUGAUUAAAUUAGAGUGCUUAAAGCAAGUUUGUUACUUGGAUAUAAAUGCAUGGAUUGAUGGAAUAUGUUGUUAUUCUAUUUGUUGGUUUUUGAAUGAUAAAAUGAUUGAAAGGAACUGUUGGGGGCAUUCGUGUUGUUGUGAGAGAGGUGAAAUUCUUAGACCACAGCAAGACGAACUACUGCGAAAGCAUUUGCCAAGAAUGUUUUCAUUGAUCAAGAACGAAAGUUAGAGGUUCGAAGGCGAUCAGAUACCGCCCUAGUUCUAAUCAUAAACUAUGCCAACUAGCAAUUUGCUUUGUAUUUUUUAUGACUAAGUGAGAGGCCACGGGAAACCUAAGUAGGGUUAUGGGGGAAGUAUGGUUGCAAAGCUGAAACUUAAAGGAAUUGACGGAAGGGCACCACCAGGAGUGGAGCCUGCGGCUUAAUUUGACUCAACACGGGAAAACUUACCUGGUCCUGACACUAGAAGGAUUGACAGAUUGAUAGCUCUUUCUUGAUUUGGUGGAUGGUGGUGCAUGGCCGUUCUUAGUUGGUGGAGUGAUUUGUCUGGUUAAUUCCGAUAACGAACGAGACUCUAGCCUAUUAAAUAAUACACGGAAUUUUAUCUUCCGCGGUAUUUCUUAGUGGGAUCAAGCG
rnacentral:rRNA from 1 species